rnacentral:rRNA from 1 species
AGCGAACGCUGGCGGCAGGCUUAAUACAUGCAAGUCGAGCGCCUGUAGCAAUACAGGAGCGGCAGACGGGAGAGUAACACGUGGGAACGUGCCCUUUAGUUCGGAACAACCCAGGGAAACUUGGGCUAAUACCGUAUGUGCCCGAGAGGGGAAAGAUUUAUCGGCAAAGGAUCGGCCCGCGUUGGAUUAGGUAGUUGGUGGGGUAAUGGCCUACCAAGCCGACGAUCCAUAGCUGGUUUGAGAGGAUGAUCAGCCACACUGGGACUGAGACACGGCCCAGACUCCUACGGGAGGCAGCAGUGGGGAAUCUUAGACAAUGGGGGAAACCCUGAUCCAGCCAUGCCGCGUGAGUGAAGAAGGUCUUCGGAUUGUAAAGCUCUUUUGCCAGGGACGAUAAUGACGGUACCUGGAGAAUAAGCCCCGGCAAACUUCGUGCCAGCAGCCGCCGUAACAC